rnacentral:rRNA from 1 species
GAUGAACGCUGGCGGCGUGCCUAAUACAUGCAAGUCGAGCGAACGGACGAGAAGCGUUCUUCUCUGAUGUUAGCGGCGGACGGGUGAGUAACACGUGGAUAGCCUACCUAUAAGACUGGGAUAACUUCGGGAAACCGGAUCUAAUACCGGAUAAUAUUUUGAACCGCAUGGUUCAAAAGUGAAAGACGGUCUUGCUGUCACUUAUAGAUGGAUCCGCGCUGCAUUAGCUAGUUGGUAAGGUAACGGCUUACCAAGGCAACGAUGCAUAGCCGACCUGAGAGGGUGAUCGGCCACACUGGAACUGAGACACGGUCCAGACUCCUACGGGAGGCAGCAGUAGGGAAUCUUCCGCAAUGGGCGAAAGCCUGACGGAGCAACGCCGCGUGAGUGAUGAAGGUCUUCGGAUCGUAAAACUCUGUUAUUAGGGAAGAACAUAUGUGUAAGUAACUGUGCACAUCUUGACGGUACCUAAUCAGAAAGCCACGGCUAACUACGUG